GGGGAUAUAGCUCAGUUGGUAGAGUGUUUACCUUCAUGCACAAUGCCGUGGGUUCAACCCCCAGAACUAUCACCA
rnacentral:tRNA from 1 species